CGUGAGGGAAAGAUGAAAAGAACUUUGAAAAGAGAGUUAAAAAGUACCUGAAAUCGUUGAAAGGGAAGGGUUUGCAACUAGUGUGUUUUGGUCGUGUGUGUGUUUGUCUGUUUUGUGAGAG
rnacentral:rRNA from 12 species